UACGGAGGGGGCUAGCGUUGUUCGGAAUUACUGGGCGUAAAGCGCACGUAGGCGGCUUUGUAAGUUAGAGGUGAAAGCCCAGGGCUCAACCCUGGAAUUGCCUUUAAGACUGCAUCGCUUGAACAUCGGAGAGGUAAGUGGAAUUCCGAGUGUAGAGGUGAAAUUCGUAGAUAUUCGGAGGAACACCGGUGGCGAAGGCGGCAUCCUGGACCGGUAUUGACGCUGAGGCGCGAAAGCUAGGGGAGCAAACGGG
rnacentral:rRNA from 1 species